AAAUUGAAGAGUUUGAUCAUGGCUCAGAUUGAACGCUGGCGGCAGGCUUAACACAUGCAAGUCGAACGGUAACAGGAAGCAGCUUGCUGCUUUGCUGACGAGUGGCGGACGGGUGAGUAAUGUCUGGGAAACUGCCUGAUGGAGGGGGAUAACUACUGGAAACGGUGGCUAAUACCGCAUAACGUCGCAAGACCAAAGAGGGGGACCUUCGGGCCUCUUGCCAUCAGAUGUGCCCAGA
rnacentral:rRNA from 1 species